CAAACCGGAGGAAGGUGGGGAUGACGUCAAAUCAUCAUGCCCCUUAUGAUUUGGGCUACACACGGGCUACAAUGGACAAUACAAAGGGCAGCAAAACCGCGAGGUCAAGCAAAUCCCAUAAAGUUGUGCUCAGUUCGGAUUGUAGUCUGCAACUCGACUACAUGAAGCUGGAAUCGCUAGUAAUCGUAGAUCAGCAUGCUACGGUGAAUACGUUCCCGGG
rnacentral:rRNA from 1 species